rnacentral:misc_RNA from 1 species
AACCAGCAAAUAAUGGUUUUCUUCAACCAAGGCUCAAGAACUAUAAGUAAUUAAUUAUCAAAUAAUGGUUUUCUCCGACCAUAGCAAGCAUUUUGACAUAAACUAUAGAAGCACAGUAAUUGAAGCUUGGCCAACAUCAAAAGAACAACACUGAAAACUCAUAAUCCCACCAUGCAAGCCAUGAAAUCUUGAAUAUUAGGGAGAACAAGGGAAGACAAU